GAACAUACAAGCGGAAAUUUUCUACGGACGAACGUACGCCAUCAUCAUUGGCUACAAAAAAAAAAGGGUCUAGCAGCAGUAUCCCAUUCUCGGGUAAUAAAAAAAAUGGAAAAGGUUGUUUGGGAUUCGCAUGCAAGAUCGCACACAUGCAUGCUUCAGCCCGUGACAGCUUGCAUUAGAGAAACAACCGCGAUUCCAGA
rnacentral:lncRNA from 1 species